rnacentral:rRNA from 1 species
GAUGAACGCUAGCUACGGGCUUAACACAUGCAAGUCGAGGGGAAACGACAUCGAAAGCUUGCUUUUGAUGGGCGUCGACCGUCGCACGGGUGAGUAACGCCUAUCCAACCUGCCCAUCACUUGGGAAUAACCUUGCGAAAGUAAGACUAAUACCCAAUGACAUCCCACGAAGACAUCUGAAUGGGAUUAAAGAUUUAUCGGUAAUGGAUGGGGAGGCGUCUGAUUAGCUUGUUGGCGGGGUAACGGCCCACCAAGGCAACGAUCAGUAGGGGUUCUGAGAGGAAGGGGCCCGAGAGGGGAACCGAGCAACGGUCCAAACUCCUACGGGAGGCAGUAGUGAGGAAUAUUGGACAAUGGGCGAGAGCCUGAACCAGCCAAGUAGCGUGCAGGAUGGCGGCCCUAUGGGUUGUAAACUGCUUUUAUAAGGGAAUAAAGUGGGGCUCGUGAGACUUUUUGCAGGUACCUUAUGAAUAAGGACCGGCUAAUUACGUG